UGCAGUCGAGCGAACGGACGAGAAGCUUGCUUCUCUGAUGUUAGCGGCGGACGGGUGAGUAACACGUGGAUAACCUACCUAUAAGACUGGGAUAACUUCGGGAAACCGGAGCUAAUACCGGAUAAUAUUUUGAACCGCAUGGUUCAAAAGUGAAAGACGGUCUUGCUGUCACUUAUAGAUGGAUCCGCGCUGCAUUAGCUAGUUGGUAAGGUAACGGCUUACCAAGGCAACGAUGCAUAGCCGACCUGAGAGGGUGAUCGGCCACACUGGAACUGAGACACGGUCCAGACUCCUACGGGAGGCAGCAGUAGGGAAUCUUCCGCAAUGGGCGAAAGCCUGACGGAGCAACGCCGCGUGAGUGAUGAAGGUCUUCGGAUCGUAAAACUCUGUUAUUAGGGAAGAACAUAUGUGUAAGUAACUGUGCACAUCUUGACGGUACCUAAUCAGAAAGCCACGGCUAACUACGUGCCAGCAGCCGCGGUAAUACGUAGGUGGCAAGCGUUAUCCGGAAUUAUUGGGCGUAAAGCGCGCGUAGGCGGUUUUUUAAGUCUGAUGUGAAAGCCCACGGCUCAACCGUGGAGGGUCAUUGGAAACUGGAAAACUUGAGUGCAGAAGAGGAAAGUGGAAUUCCAUGUGUAGCGGUGAAAUGCGCAGAGAUAUGGAGGAACACCAGUGGCGAAGGCGACUUUCUGGUCUGUAACUGACGCUGAUGUGCGAAAGCGUGGGGAUCAAACAGGAUUAGAUACCCUGGUAGUCCACGCCGUAAACGAUGAGUGCUAAGUGUUAGGGGGUUUCCGCCCCUUAGUGCUGCAGCUAACGCAUUAAGCACUCCGCCUGGGGAGUACGACCGCAAGGUUGAAACUCAAAGGAAUUGACGGGGACCCGCACAAGCGGUGGAGCAUGUGGUUUAAUUCGAAGCAACGCGAAGAACCUUACCAAAUCUUGACAUCCUUUGACAACUCUAGAGAUAGAGCUUUCCCCUUCGGGGGACAAAGUGACAGGUGGUGCAUGGUUGUCGUCAGCUCGUGUCGUGAGAUGUUGGGUUAAGUCCCGCAACGAGCGCAACCCUUAAGCUUAGUUGCCAUCAUUAAGUUGGGCACUCUAAGUUGACUGCCGGUGACAAACCGGAGGAAGGUGGGGAUGACGUCAAAUCAUCAUGCCCCUUAUGAUUUGGGCUACACACGUGCUACAAUGGACAAUACAAAGGGCAGCGAAACCGCGAGGUCAAGCAAAUCCCAUAAAGUUGUUCUCAGUUCGGAUUGUAGUCUGCAACUCGACUACAUGAAGCUGGAAUCGCUAGUAAUCGUAGAUCAGCAUGCUACGGUGAAUACGUUCCCGGGUCUUGUACACACCGCCCGUCACACCACGAGAG
rnacentral:rRNA from 1 species